GAUGAACGCUAGCGGCAGGCCUAAUACAUGCAAGUCGAGGGCAGCGCGGUAGCAAUACUGGCGGCGACCGGCGCACGGGUGCGUAACACGUAUGCAACCUACCUUCAACUGGAGGAUAGCCCGGGGAAACUCGGAUUAAUACUCCAUAACACAGGGAUCCCGCAUGGGAAUAUUGUUAAAGCUACGGCGGUUGAAGAUGGGCAUGCGUUCGAUUAGCUAGUUGGUGUAGGUAACGGCUCACCAAGGCUACGAUCGAUAGGGGGUCUGAGAGGAUGAUCCCCCACACUGGUACUGAGAUACGGACCAGACUCCUACGGGAGCAGCAGUAGGGAAUAUUGGUCAAUGGGCGCAAGCCUGAACCAGCCAUGCCGCGUGCAGGAAGAAGGCCCUCUGGGUGUAAACUGCUUUUGAUAGGGAACAAAUGCCACUUGCGAGUGGAGCUGAGUGUACCUAUAGAAUAAGCACCGGCUAACUCCGUGCCAGC
rnacentral:rRNA from 1 species